AUUGAACGCUGGCGGCAUGCCUUACACAUGCAAGUCGAACGGCGGCGCGGGAGCAAUCCUGGCGGCGAGUGGCGAACGGGUGAGUAAUACAUCGGAACGUGCCCAAUCGUGGGGGAUAACGCAGCGAAAGCUGUGCUAAUACCGCAUACGAUCUACGGAUGAAAGCAGGGGAUCGCAAGACCUUGCGCGAAUGGAGCGGCCGAUGGCAGAUUAGGUAGUUGGUGAGGUAAAGGCUCACCAAGCCUUCGAUCUGUAGCUGGUCUGAGAGGACGACCAGCCACACUGGGACUGAGACACGGCCCAGACUCCUACGGGAGGCAGCAGUGGGGAAUUUUGGACAAAGGGCGAAAGCCUGAUCCAGCCAUGCCGCGUGCAGGAUGAAGGCCUUCGGGUUGUAAACUGCUUUUGUACGGAACGAAACGGUCUUUUCUAAUAAAGAAGGCUAAUGACGGUACCGUAAGAAUAAGCACCGGCUAACUACGUG
rnacentral:rRNA from 1 species